rnacentral:lncRNA from 1 species
UCGAUCCUGAGAUCAGUAUUUUAUAGAGAUAAAGAUAACCUCGACCUUCAAGUCAGUAUUUUAUAGAGCUUCAAGAAAAUCUCGAUUCUAAGGUCGGUAUUUUAUAGAGCUGAAGAUAACUUUGAUCUUGAGAUCGGUAUUUUAUAGAGCUGAAGAUAACCUCAAUCCUAAGAUCGAUAUUUUAUAGAGCUGAAGAUAACAUCCACUCCAA